GAUGAACGCUGGCGGCGUGCCUAAUACAUGCAAGUCGAGCGAACGGACGAGAAGCUUGCUUUUCUGAUGUUAGCGGCGGACGGGUGAGUAACACGUGGAUAACCUACCUAUAAGACUGGGAUAACUUCGGGAAACCGGAGCUAAUACCGGAUAAUAUUUUGCACCGCAUGGUUCAAAAGUGAAAUACGGUCUUGCUGUCACUUAUAGAUGGAUCCGCGCUGCAUUAGCUAGUUGGUAAGGUAACGGCUUACCAAGGCAACGAUGCAUAGCCGACCUGAGAGGGUGAUCGGCCACACUGGAGCUGAGACGCGGUCCAGACUCCUACGGGAGGCAGCAGUAGGGAAUCUUCCGCAAUGGGCGAAAGCCUGACGCAGCAACGCCGCGUGAGUGAUGACGGUCUUCGGAUCGUAAAACUCUGUUAUUAGGGAAGAACAUAUGUGUAAGGAACUGUGCACAGAUUGACGGUACCUAAUCAGAAAGCCACGGCUAACUACGUG
rnacentral:rRNA from 1 species